UUACAGGAAAAUAUUAUCUAGUAGAUUCUGGAUAUCCAAAUACCGUUGGAUAUUUGAGUCCAAUAAAAGAAAAAGAUAUUAGAACCCAUUUGCCUGAAUUUCGAAAUGGUCCACCACCACAAGGCAUGCUUGAACUUUUUAAUUAUCUUCACUCUUCACUUCGAACAACGAUCGAGAGAUGUUUUGGACAAUUAAAAGGUCGAUGGAAAAUAUUGACAAUGAUGCCACAAAUGGACACUAAACAUCAAUUGGCAAUUAUGGUUGCUACAUUCACACUUCACAAUUUUAUUCGAUUACAUGAGUUGGAUAUAACCAUUGAUAGUGAUAUAGAAAUCGAACCAAGAGCAGAUUAUGAUUUGUUUAACGAGAAUCGUAAAGCUGUAAUGAAAGAAGUACAACUUAAUAUAGCGAAGGAAAUUUAGAACGUCUUGAAA